rnacentral:rRNA from 1 species
AGUGGACGCUGGCGGCAGGCCUAACACAUGCAAGUCGAGCGGAUGAGUGGAGCUUGCUCCAUGAUUCAGCGGCGGACGGGUGAGUAAUGCCUAGGAAUCUGCCUGGUAGUGGGGGACAACGUUUCGAAAGGAACGCUAAUACCGCAUACGUCCUACGGGAGAAAGUGGGGGAUCUUCGGACCUCACGCCAUCAGAUGAGCCUAGGUCGGAUUAGCUAGUUGGUGAGGUAAAGGCUCACCAAGGCGACGAUCCGUAACUGGUCUGAGAGGAUGAUCAGUCACACUGGAACUGAGACACGGUCCAGACUCCUACGGGAGGCAGCAGUGGGGAAUAUUGGACAAUGGGCGAAAGCCUGACCCAGCCAUGCCGCGUGUGUGAAGAAGGUCUUCGGAUUGUAAAGCACUUUAAGUUGGGAGGAAGGGCAGUAAGUUAAUACCUUGCUGUUUUGACGUUACCAAAAGAAUAAGCACCGGCUAACUUCGUGCCAGCCGCCGCGGUAAGAC